ACAUAGAUCAAAUGCUGGUGGUCAAAAUUAGACCUAGAAGGCAAUGAGGAUUUUAUUAACAGUAUCUCUGCUUGCAUUUUAAGAUUUGAUGUUGAGUAGAUUUUAUUUUGCAGGUGAUGGGGAAAGUGCCAACCAUUUCUAUCAACAAAACAGAAGGCUGCCACAUCUACCUCAGUGAGGAGUCAUUGGAUUGUGAGAUUGUGAGUGCCAAGUCAUCCGAGAUGAACAUUCUCAUCCCCCAAGAUGGUGACUAUAAAGAAUUUCCGGUUCCUGAACAGUUCAAGACAGCAUGGGAUGGAUCUAAGUUGGUCACUGAACCUGCAGAGAUUGUGGGUUGACUUCCUCACGCCAUAGAGCACUUGCUGACCACGGCCAGACUGCGGCCAGCACGCACAAAGCAGUAAUGUAAAGAACUAGGAGUAGCAGGAGUUCAUGCUGCUGUCAUAGGCCUUCAAGCAUUAGCUCUGCAUGCUAGGAACAAUAACACAUCUGGCACCCUUUUGUUAGGCAUCCCGGUCCCGGUCAUGUCUCCACAUAGUUUGCCUUCACAUACAAUUUUAGUUCUGAAUGGGAAUGUAAUAGGUUAAACCCCCACCCUCCAGUCACAUCAUUGGUUUGAAAUACUGUAUACAUUAAGCCGACUGCACGAUACACUUUUUUUAUCAUCUUGCUUCAGUGCAUUCCUUUUUGUGUUUCUGCUAAUCAAAAACAGCAUUAAGACUUUGGGGUGUUUCUUUUUACCUAUGAAGCAAUUCCUGUAUGAUGCAGUAAAAAUGUACCUGUAGAAAGUACGCAAUUUCUUGCAGUUCUGUGGUAAUCAUAAUGUGUUCCGUUUCAAACAAGCAAAAAAGGACAACUUUCAGCAUAGCAAUACAUUUUGCUAACUGAAUUUUUUUAAAAAGUCUGGUAAUUUAAUCAAAAACAUUUCUAAUCUGCAUAUUUAGAAGAUCUCAGUUUUCUGUGAAGAUUUAUUAUGGUUCAUAGACUUGCUGUUGCCCUCUCAUUUCUUGCAAAUUAGUAAUUCUUUCUAAGCUUGGGCCUCAUCAAUGCUAAAACCUUGCAGGAAAUUACUUGAAGGUUUUUGCACCUUGGAUUUUUUUUCAUGACACCAUCUCUCACUUUUUAAAAUUUCACAUUUUUAUCUUGCGUCUUAUACAGAAAACCAAGGAGGACAGACACAUCUGAUUACCAGCUAGUUUUCCUUACUACUAAAGUUCCUUUAAAGUAUUUGUAUUGUAGCUCAUCACGUUCAUUAAAAGUAUCAUCCUGGAUGUUUUUUCCCCACAUUUGUAGGACUAUCAAAUACAUCCACAAAGCAAAGCCAUAGAUUUAUGCCAUACUAAUUCUGAGCCCAAAUAAAGGGGUCAUUUCCUGUUUAGCCCUUUGACUCUACCUUACGAUCCCUACGCUUUUUUAAAGAAAGGUAGAGCAUUGUAUACAUUUGUACUAUUUCAGCACAUAGUACGAAAAACACUUAAAAGAUUUUAAAAGUCACCUUGUGUUUUGAUCACUUGUAAUACUUUGUAUCUGUGAAAUCACAGUGAGAUGCUUGCAGAGCUAGUUACAAGCUAAAUUUUGUGCCUAACUUACCUUGAAAGUACAUUAACUCUUAAGGGUUUUUAAGUAUAUCUUUGAUUGUAAACCCUAUACAAUACAACCAGUAGUGCUCAUUCCUUACAGUUUUGCUAUCUAAUGUUUAACCUAUGUGUAUAAUGUGUUUGCUUUAAUAUAUAUCAUUUUUUCAACAGUAAACUUCUUACAAAAUAAAAAGGAAA